rnacentral:misc_RNA from 1 species
CUCCCUAUAUUCCUUCUCUCUCCAUUUCUCAAUUUCAGCCAGUCCCAAAUCCUCAGCUUGGUCAACUAGUUCCACUACUUCCAAAUCAACUAACCUAAAAUGAUCUUUAUACUUACCUAAAAUCGAGUCCCUAAAAUCUUCUGGCAGACCCAAUUCUCUCCUAAUCAACCUCAAAGCAUGAACGUGAAGAAUUCCACUUCUGGAAAUCAACAACAACUUCUUUAUUCUCCUCACAGAU